GAUGAACGUUGGCGGCGUGCCUAAUACAUGCAAGUCGAGCGAACAGACGAGGAGCUUGCUCCUUUGACGUUAGCGGCGGACGGGUGAGUAACACGUAGGUAACCUACCUAUAAGACUGGGAUAACUUCGGGAAACCGGAGCUAAUACCGGAUAAUAUUUCGAACCGCAUGGUUCGAUAGUGAAAGAUGGCUUUGCUAUCACUUAUAGAUGGACCUGCGCCGUAUUAGCUAGUUGGUAAGGUAACGGCUUACCAAGGCAACGAUACGUAGCCGACCUGAGAGGGUGAUCGGCCACACUGGAACUGAGACACGGUCCAGACUCCUACGGGAGGCAGCAGUAGGGAAUCUUCCGCAAUGGGCGAAAGCCUGACGGAGCAACGCCGCGUGAGUGAUGAAGGUCUUCGGAUCGUAAAACUCUGUUAUUAGGGAAGAACAAACGUGUAAGUAACUGUGCACGUCUUGACGGUACCUAAUCAGAAAGCCACGGCUAACUACGUG
rnacentral:rRNA from 1 species